GUUUAGGAGGAUUGAUUAAAUGAAUUAGGGCAAUGGCAGUAGGAAUGGAAAUGGAGAGACAGUUAUGACAGGUGUUUGCAAAUAAAGCCAAAAGAAAUUGGCAUACCACCAAUUUGAAUAAUGUUGAAAAAGUGAUCUCAAAGAUCUCUUGGCAAAGAAAAUGCAAAGCUGCUUUCAAUAGUCUAAUUGUCAGUGGGAAUAGUAGACUAUUACUUCAAAACUAUAUUAAAAAUGAAUAAUUUUGUUAAAGUAAAAACUAAUGUUUUCAGCAUAAGAUAAUACUAUGAAACUGAACAAAGGACACUUUAUUUAAAAUGAGUUUGGGAGGCCAGAAUGGGGGGCUCAUCAUCAGUGAGCUGUCUAUACUCAUCAUCAGUUAUAGACUCCAACAUAAAAAGAGGUACCUUGCAUCCCCAGCAGGAAGAAUCCUAUACUUUGCUACUAGAACAGGAAGAAGAAAGAUUUUCCCCUUCCCUGGCAACAGCUUAGCCAAUUAGAGACUGUCACAACUCAGCCAAUGAAAAACCACUACACUUCCAACUCCUAGUUUACUCCAGUGGACUUUCUAUUUGUAACAGCUCCUCCCGAACUCCCUCCCCCUUUCCUGCAUAAAACAGCAUUCUGAGGAUCCUAGGUGACUCGGUUAAGUGUCUGAUUCUUCAUUUCAGCUGUAGUUAUGAACUCAGGGUUGUGAAAUUGAGGCCCAUGUGGGGCUCUGCCCUGGGUGUGGAGCCUGCUUAACAUUCUCUCUCUCCCUCUGCCCUCCCUUAAAAAAAGCAUUCCUCCCUGUUCUCUGGACUCGCUUAUAGUUUUACCAUAGCUUGCAUUUCCCAAAUUGUAACUCUCAGCUAUUCCCAAAUAAACCCAUUUUUGCUGGUAAACUAACUGACAAUUUUAAGGUUAACAAUAGAAAAAUUCAACCAAGGGAAUUAAAUAAAACCAUGUUAUCUUAUAUUUGAUUGUAAAUAUGACUAUCAGCUCCUGCCCCCUUUUUUGGUAAACAUGCAAUUUAGCUCUGUCCUCUAAAAUUCCUAGAAGCAAUGACAGUGUGCAAUCCAGUUCUUUGAUUAUUGUCUCUCAAUAUCAUCUUUAUAUCAAUAGGAAAUAGAAUCCAACUUGAAGUGGUUUUUACUCACCCAAUAUGGGACUGUUUGGCAGCUAAUUCCAGAUAUAAGAGGUAGUAUUCUGCAAGACAAGUAACACAUUUUCUCUAACAAAUCAAUGGCAUGUUAAAAAAAGAAAAGGGUGCCAUUGUAGGAUAAAAGACAUGUAAGAAACAUAGUAAAUUUAGACCUCAUUAAAAUGACUAAGCUGUUCAAACUUACCUUCAGUAUAAUCAGAAAGACAUUGUAUGGUAUUAAGAAUUUGCUCUUAAUUCAGUUAGGUAUACUGUUUGGUAGGAAGAAGGAGUAAGAAAAAUGUCCUUAUAAGUUGAAGAUGUACUCUGAAGUUUGUUUCUGGUGAAAAGAUAUAUCUAGAGUUUCCCUUAAAAUACUAAUGAAUAUGGAAUAAUGUAUGGAGAUGAGUUGGUACAGUGGGAAGGGGAACAGAUGUAAAUAGCUCAGUGAAAUGUUGAAAAUUAUUGAAGCUGGGUGAUAUGUUUAUGCAACUCAUUAACCUUUAUUCUCUAACUUUAUGUAUGUUUGGGAAUUUCCACAAAAGGAUGAUCAAAGAAAAGAUUCCUCCUUCGUUUUAGAUGAUAAGAUGUCAUUCCCCAAAUAUUUUCAACCUGUCAUAGAAAUGAUGGUGGGAUAAGACCUACAGAUGGCCUAAAGCUGGACGUGGCAGGUAGAAGGGAGUGAUAAACCACAUCAACUGCUGCAAGGAGGAGCUCUCUGAAUGGAGGAAUGUUUCCAGGGUAAAAAGACCCCAGCAAGCCCAAACAUUCAAGUUUGAAUGACCUUCCAUCUCUGUAGCUGCCAUUUGGCAGCCUUCAAAGCUGAUGGGUUGGCGGUGCUGGGUUUGCCUCUGGGCCUGUCAUUUGUCGUGUUGUUGGACCGCUGAUGGGCUGUCACCGCUUACCCUGUAAGACUGCACUUUCCUCUUCCAAUUUUGGCUGCUACUAGAAGAUAAAAAUCAAGCAGCCACACAGCCCUUCACCCUUCUUUAGAGCCUAGUGGUUGAAUCAGCUGAGAAGUGAAAAACACAAUCCUUCCAUUGUCUUACCAAAUACAUAGGGUUUGCAUAUUCCACUGCAAAUUACCACUAAAAAAAAAUCAGAAUUAGAAUGCAUUUGGUGUUCCAUACCUUGCUGCUAGUUAAUGCCAUGCCACCCUGAAGACUCAUCUCUCCUUUUGGGUUUAAUUGGGUUCUUUUCUGUUGCUUUCAUAUCAGUUUGCACCUGACUGACAUAUACUGCUGCUGAUUACCAAGUGAGUUGUUCAGUGAGCUAGAGGUAUGAUAAAUUAAACAUGAUAUGUAUCACUCAAUCCAUCUUUGGCUGCUUCAUGGUACAUUAUAAUUUGG